GUCUUCAGAUGGGGCUCAGGUCGGGGUUGUGGCCCUGGGGACACUCCUGGUUUCUGGGUUUGAGGAUUUCACCAAGCUUUCUCACUCUCCUCCUUCAGAGUAUGGCGCAAGGCCGAGGCCAGGUGAAGGCUAACCAGAGCUGAAUCUCCCAGCUACCAGAAAGGUGUUUGCAAACAUUUUUAUCUCGAGGAGGUGGACAGAACUUUCCCCACAAGAGGAGGCAGCUGCCACGUCUUGCUCUGUGAAAAAUCCAAGGCCCUUCUAGCUGGGAGGUGUGGCUGAGGCAGUUCUGUGACUUCAGGAAAGCAUUUUCAAGAGACUUUCUGGAAGGUGCAGUUUGUGAGGUGGUGUAGCCCAGCCUGACUUCUGACCUUCUGUGGUGAUGUGACAGCACUUCUGGUGGAGCCUCAGAGAGCAGAGCCCAGAAAGAAGGAGCCCACUGAGCUUUUUCUGUAUGCCUCUAAUGGGAACGGAAUUUCCUGUGACUGCAGGGCAGCUGUGCAGUGACGUUAACAACCGGGAAGAUGUUUUGGGAAUGACACUGUAGCAGUAGUCCAGAUCUGCCCAGCAGGCAGCUGUACUAUGAACUGCCUGUCCCUCCACAUCGCCACUAGCUGCAUGGUAGAUUGGAUAAGUGUUCUCCUAUUGCUUCAAGUUUCUUUCCCUCUUUAAGUGAGGGAAGGCGGCUUCCUCACUUCCUCCUUUAUUUUCAUGCAUCAAUAAGGAUACAUUGGCCAAAGCAAAAUAGGAAUCUGGAUCCCCAGGUGCAACUGAAGUCACGUCCUCCCUGUACCCCGAAAUAUUCUGACCUACCAGCCGCCCAAAACAAUUUCCCUUUCACUGUCUAGUGGAGCUGCAAUUUAGCACUUGUGACCCCAGCAGCCGACAAGCUGUCCUGAGGGAAACAUGACAAAAGCAGGCUCCCCUUUGAAACCCAAGGUCUCCAGUGAGAGAAGGUUCAGGCCCCUCCUUGGGCCCCUCUCCGGAGACUGACAUCCUCUUGUCCCGCAGUCCACAGACCUUCCUGUUCUUCCCAGUCUUCAUUUCUGGGGUUCUAAGAUGACGAAAAUGGUGGCGCGUGGUUGUCUCAGUGCGGGGACCCAGGGCCCUGCCACUGUAUAGGCUUUUGGAAAAUAGCUUUACUGAGGUAUAAUUGGCGUUCAAUAAACUGCCUGUCUAACUGCACAGCCUCACGUGUUGAGUGUACG